GCCUACGGGGCGCAGCAGUGGGGGAUAUUGCACAAUGGGGGAAACCCUGAUGCAGCGACGCCGCGUGGGCGAAGGAGCGUUUCGGCGCGUAAAGCCCUAUCGGCAGGGAAGAAGGAGGACGGUACCUGACUAAGAAGCCCCGGCUAACUACGUGCCAGCAGCCGCGGUAAUACGUAGGGGGCAAGCGUUAUCCGGAUUUACUGGGUGUAAAGGGAGCGUAGACGGUCCUGCAAGCCAGAUGUGAAAGCCCGGGGCUCAACCCCGGGACUGCAUUUGGAACUGUAAGGCU
rnacentral:rRNA from 1 species